UCGGUCCUCUCGCAACGAUACGCUGUAAACUCCGCCAGGCCCGGAAGGGAGCAACGGUAGCAGCAGAUUCGUGUGCCGAGAUGUGGCUGGCA
rnacentral:SRP_RNA from 1 species